CCCCAUGUUCUGCCUUGAGGUAACAAAUUAACAAAUAAAUGAAUAAAUAAGGUAAUACACUUGGCUGUCCUCAGAGGUUUCCUCUUGUAGCCUACUUUGUUCACUGAAAGUGGGGGGAUGGGUUACUGUUUGAUGCUCAAAAUCCCCAGACUAAUUUGAAGUGCAGAGACCCCAAACACCAGGACAGCGUCUGUACACCAGAGUACAGAACUCUCUCAGAGCUGCUCCGAGAGAUCUACUUCGAGAUCUGCUCUGAAACUUUUGCAACGUUAUUGGACAUUUUGUUACAUCUAUUAUUUUGUUGAUGAGUGCUCCAAUUUAGAAAAUGGAGAAAACAGGAGGGGGAAAGGAAAGCCUUCAUGUGUGGUGGCUAGCUAGCUACUCUGCAGCAGCAGCUACAGGUUCUGUUUGUGAUGUUAGGCUAACUUUAUCUACUCUAUAACCGUCCAGGUGGAGCUGCUGGAGAAGGGACAUCUGGUCUCUGUUCCACACCUCUCCCCUCUACGGAGCUUGUAUGUUCAGCCCAUUAUUUGUGGUCUCUGUGUCAUUAAUAAUAAACUGCUAUUUCGUCUUUAGUAUUAUUGAUAUUCUUAUUGUUAAAUGUUAGUUUCACCUUGUUACUAAUUAAUUGUAGGUCUUAGUCAAAUUUUAUAAAGUGUAUUUGUACAGUGCUACCUAAUAUGCAGUAGAAUGACUAAGGACCUAAUGCAGUGGUGUAACAGUAACUGAACUGUAUGUUUGAACACAGCCUGCAGGUCUAGAGACAUCCAUCCCUCCAGCUCCCUCCAGUGAAACACAGCCUGCAGGUCUAGAGACAUCCAUCCCUCCAGCUCCCUCCAGUGAAACACAGCCUGCAGGUCUAGAGACAUCCAUCCCUCCAGCUCCCUCCAGUGAAACACAGCCUGCAGGUCUAGAGACAUCCAUCCCUCCAGCUCCCUCCAGUGAAACACAGCCUGCUGAAGAAACUACACCACUAAUGUCCAGUGAAUCUCCUGCACCAACCGGGGACCAACAAGAACACACUUCAAGAACAAGUACCCCUGAUGUAACUAUGGAUGGUCAUGAUGAUGACCAGAGUCUGGAUGCCCUCGCCUACCGGUCUGGUACUGGACAGCUAGACAUUGAGAUGGGUCCAGUCCAAAAGCUGCCCAAAGAACGUAACAGGAUUCUUUAA
rnacentral:lncRNA from 1 species